UACGGAGGAUGCAAGCGUUAUCCGGAAUGAUUGGGCGUAAAGCGUCCGCAGGUGGCUUUGUAAGUCUGCUGUUAAAGAGUGAGGCUCAACCUCAUAAGAGCAGUGGAAACUACAAGGCUAGAGUACGUUCGGGGCAGAGGGAAUUCCUGGUGUAGCGGUGAAAUGCGUAGAGAUCAGGAAGAACACCGGUGGCGAAAGCGCUCUGCUAGGCCGUAACUGUCACUGAGGGACGAAAGCUAGGGGAGCGAAUGGG
rnacentral:rRNA from 1 species